UUUUAUCAGAGAGUUUGAUCCUGGCUCAGGAUGAACGCUGGCGGCGUGCUUAACACAUGCAAGUCGAACGGGAAAUAUUUCAUUGAGACUU
rnacentral:rRNA from 2 species